rnacentral:rRNA from 1 species
UACAGAGGGGGCAAGCGUUGCUCGGAAUUACUGGGCGUAAAGGGCGCGUAGGCGGCCUAUUAAGUCGGACGUGAAAUCCCUCGGCUCAACCGAGGAACUGCGUCCGAUACUGGUGGGCUUGAAUCCGGGAGAGGGAUGUGGAAUUCCAGGUGUAGCGGUGAAAUGCGUAGAUAUCUGGAGGAACACCGGUGGCGAAGGCGGCAUCCUGGACCGGUAUUGACGCUGAUGCGCGAAAGCCAGGGGAGCAAACGGG